UUCAUAGGAACCUUGAGAAAAACUUUCAUCCCAACAAGAUCAUGUGUGUAAAAUUCACCCUCUUCUAACUCUGGUCUUUCAUCCUCGGUGACAAGCAAGGUAGAGCCAGUAAGCAUCUUAGCCUGCAUGAUACGAGUAAAUGAAUGUGUUUGGAUUAGCAACAGAAAAUAGAUUAUUUCAGUGAUAGAUUGUUAUCAUGAUCUAUUGUAAAAGAAUUGUUUUCCUGUUAAGAUAUGCUUGAUGAAAAAGAGUUUUUAUGAUAAUCUAUUUUGUUUUGACCGUUCGAAAAAAUCACAUUUAUGUAGUAAAUUACAAAAAAUGACAGUUAUUUCUUUAGAUUAAUAAUGUUUGUUCGGCAAUUAGUUCAUUUUUUCAAAUAAGUUUCAGCCUCUAGUUUCCCUAAAACAAAUUUUCUCCCUGAAAACCUCUUUUUCAUACUUUCAUCAAGUUUAUUAAACCACACCUGAAAGUAGGGCAUGUUCACAUCCAAAUCGUUCCAAAAUAAAACUGUAAACCAAUUCAAAAAACUACAAACCAAUAAAAAAAAUAUUUUAGAUUGGUUUUGCAAAGAACAGGCCAGGUCAGAUCAGAUCAGAUUUUGGAUUCAUGUAUAAAACUCGAUCAAAUUGUGCAUCUUACAUAUUUUAUAUAUUAAUUAAUCUAAAAUUGUAUAUUUACUUUAAGUUGUGAUAUUUGAUGUAUACCUUUGAUUGAAUUAUUUUUUGUAUUACUUUCAUUUGGAUACAUUAUCUCAAUAAUCAAACAAUUAACCAUAAUAUUUUAUUUUACUAUUUAAAAUAAAAAUCAAUACAUACACUUAUAAAAUUAAAGUUGUAUUUGGAUAAAAACGUAAAUAAUCAAAAAUAAAAAGCCAAAUCACAACCGCUCGUAAUUUUUAGUUCAUACCAAAUUUGAUGCUUAAAUCAACCGACUCGAACCACAUGUGAUAUUUAUGUUCCAAUAAGAUGACUUUUUACCCCAAAACCAAUCCAAAUCAACCCACAAACACCCUUACUUGAAAGGAAAAAGCAGUUUAUGUUCACACAAGAGUGAAUGGAGAUUGAUGACAAGAGAGGAUGACCUCUCAGUUUCAAUUCAGAUGUUGGUAUAUGUUUGUAACCUAUCUUUCAUAAGGUCCAAGGAUUUACAUCUACCAAUAGAGGAAGUUAUGUGACAUGGGAAGUUCAGGUUUUUAUGGGGAAGACGACGAGGAGUAGUAGGGUGUAGAUCAUGGUUCACUUGAUGACUCGGCCAACCUACGUGAGAUAGACCUUGAUUUGUUCGGGCAUGGUUAUAAUAUUGGGAGUCAAAUUGUGAACCAGAAAGCCUAAUUUCCAAAUAGUGAAUGGUAAUAUUUCUUUAUUACUAGACAAAACAUGUUAUUUCGAAAUAGUUAUAACAUACAUUUAUGCAUGAUUAUCUAUACUCUAGACCUCGGCUAGAGUAUACAUACAUUUGUCUUCCUCUUGCCCCUACACAAACCACUUCUAAUUUAUAUACAUAAAUACAAUGACUACCCCUACAAGAGUAAUAAGUUACUUCAGCAGUUAAUCAACCAGUUAAAGAACUAAAAAACCAAACAAAAAUUUCAUUGUCUGCCUUGCUUAUAGGAUUAUGUGUUAGCUAACGACAUCUAUACUGGGUAUCAAUGUUUAACGGAAAAUGAAAAGAAAAAAGAAUCUGACCUCAACGUACUCAACUCCGAGGUUAAUAAGAUUAUCGGCAAUGCUAUGCUUUGAAAACAAGCUAAUAAACCCUCCAGAUCCAACAGGAGUUUGGAGUAUUUCCCAAGGUGACUUCAUUAGAAUCUUAUAUUUGUUUUGUCCUUCAGGCAAACUGCUAACAACCGGAAGCUUCUCUUCCUCCAAAAACCAUAUCUGCAAGAGGGUUAAAAUAUUAAGAUUGUGAUCACACUAGAAGCCAAUUAUAUAAGCACGAGGUUGAGAAGAGAUUGUCACUAGAUUUCCAUUUAAAAGUUAAAAUGAAGACUAUAUUAUUUCUUGUACAAAUUGACCAUUGAUGUUUUGCAUAUGACCACCACUUCACUUAUCCAGUGUAGUAGUAUUAUUUAUAGCAUGCAUAACCACAUCCUAAAAGGAAACUAGUAUUAGUUAAAUGUUACUGCAAUAUUGAUAUUUUCAGUUUCCAAGCAAUGAACAGGCAAUGUUCCAUAUUUUACGAGUCCCGAAACUAAACCACUACAGGUGAAGUAGAAUUUCAAAAUGGAAGGUAAUGUGGAUUGUAGAAAUCAAAAAAUACGAUGAACAGUAAGAAUAUUUAAGUUGGACCACAAUACAGAGAUAUUGACAAACUUUAGUACAUAUUUGACCAAGAUAAUAGAAAACAAAAAAGGGAGAUCUUCGGCAUGAUGUGAACCUUUUCAGAGUCAAAUGCAAAGUGAUUGUUGUUGGUAAACAGCUUUCUUAAAGACUCAAUUUGUUGGGCUGACGAAACCAAAAUUAAAGGCACAACCUCGCGAUCUUUAUCCUGCAAAAAAUGCAAAUUCAUUAGAUGAUGAGAAUUUAUUUAAUACAGUCAUUUCAAAAAGUCACUUAGAUGAUACCUUAAAAAUCAGCUUAUAUCAUCUUUUUUCCAGCAUGAUUCAUAACAAACAUCACAUUGGAAAUGAAAUGGACAACAUUAAAAUGCUAGUUUUUCUGUUCUCUUUGAAUAUUUGUUGAAGAGGUGUUCUGUUGAAAUUCAAUUAUGACAAUAAAUUGAUUUUCACAAUAGUUAAUCUUUAUCAGGAGCAUAUUUACCGACAAUAAAAAAAUUAAAAACACAAGUUUACAACCUUUACAAAAUUUCCAUCAUCAGAGAGUAACUUUUGAAGUGGGAGAAGUAAAGUGUCUGUCGCUUCAUUCUCAACUAUGUCAGGGUCACAAAUGAACCCCUGAUUCUCUUUUUCAUUCAAAAGCAGGACUAUAGCCAUUUUCCCCUCAGACAUGAGCUUGAGUCCCUUGUCUUGCAAAAUGUUAUCUCCAUUUCCAUGUAAGGAAGAUUUGGAUGAUAUUUGCAAACUAUUAAUAAGCUUUGCUUCUGAAGCACUGAUCACCUCGGCUGCAUUCCAUCUGAAUUUAAGGAAGUUAAAACACAAAUGAACAUUCCAACAAAUGUAAUAAAAAAGGGCCGAGAAAUUGUGACAUAACAAGCCACAAAAAUCAAUGAUCGUAUGGUCAAGUUCAUAAAAAAUGAACAAUUAAAUCAGAAAACACUAAUAUUUUUAUAAUUUAGUUUAUCUAAGAAUGAGUAGUCAUUUCUAAAACCUAGUAUUGGAUCAUACUGAUAACAGAAAUAGUUUCUCUCUUUCUUUUUGUCGGGGUGGGGGAUGAAGGUGUUGAAGCUUAAAAUAACUAUGGUUUACAAUAACUUGCCUCUUGGUAGGUUGUUGAAGACCUUGUAAUGCCUCCUGAAGCAAUUUGGUGUUUACACCAACAAUCUGAUCACUAAGCAAGCUCCUCUGUUCCUUCUCUCCAUAUCGAAGUCCAUGAAAUACAUGUUGCUGCUCUAUUUCAACGAGUUUCUUUUUCGCUGCUAUGAGGCGCUUUUGAAACUUUUUCCUUUCUUUCCAUUCCUGAAAUAUACCAAAAAAAUGAAUUAUCCAUAUCAUUUCUUGGUAGGUGGUAUCAAUUGCUACCCAGUCAUUAUGAUAGGAAAAUUAACCCAUAAAACACAAUUUAAAAUUCAAAUGAUACAAGUUCAACUAUUGAGAGGCAUAGCAGAAUGCCACAUUAUGAAAAUCUAAUUUCACUAAGGUUGACAAUAAUGCAAAUCUGUUAGCUGGGUUAUCAUACAAAUUAAUAAAAACCGCAUCCAAUUAAUACAUAAUUGUGGCUUACUCUGAAGGCAAAAUAGCCAAGGUAAAACAUAUAUAAUUGAAACGAAUGUUUAAUCACAAAAUUGCCUUGAAAAGGGAGAGACUAAGAAGGUAAUAUAACAUCAGCAGUAAGCACAAAAACAACAACAAAACAUUGAACCUGUUCAAAAAGUAUAGGAGAGUAUGCAUCAAUGUUUUGUUCAAAAAAUUCCAAAAAGUAACAACUUGGUGAUAAAGUAUAGGGCAGUAUGCCUCACAAGUUGGCGCCUUUCUUUUUUGGACCUCUCAUCAUAUCGUAAGUUUAAUUCCAGUAGCCCCUUGGGUGGUGUGAUAUGCAUUUCUCUUCUUUUUGUAUCAACAUCCGGAACAAUUGCUUCCACAAAAGGCACCAAAACAAGCUGACCAGAUGCUUCUACCUCUUCAGAUCUUGACUUUCCACUUUUAUCAAGAAUACCAAAAGAUGAAUCAAGGGAAACUUGCAGAAGGUCAUUAGCUCCACUAUUGAAAACACCAAUAACAGUUCCCACAAAUUCUCCACUUUCCUGAUAGGAAAAGGUGUUGUAGGUAAACAAAUUCAGUUUAAGGAUUUAAAAACAAUAAGGCAAUACAAUACCAAAGAAGAAGAAUUCAAAGUUGCAUAAAUCUAUAUAAACUGGGUACUUCAAAAAAUGGUGAUGUAUGUCUUGGAUAUGCAUGGGUAUGUACCGAAUAUGUAAGAAUUAUAUCAAAUUGUUUUUUUAUUUGUUACACGGAUUGGGUACGGCAGGGUACUCCUAUGGUGCUGACUGAGUGACCAUUGCAAAACUGUGUCAUUUUGGGCUAGAAAUCUCAGUUGGUAAUGAGUCUUAACUUCUCAUCCUACGACACUCGCAUCCUCAGGCAGUGUCGGUGACGACCCUCUUACCUUUUUUAUAUACUUAUAUAAGUAUAUAUACAUAAAAAUUUUAUAUUGACAUACCCAUAUCUUUGAUUUUCUAAAAUGUAUCUCUUACAUGUAUCAUACCCAUACCACGCAACAUAUUAUAACAUUAUCUUUAGGUUAUUGAUAAUAGUUUGUUUGCAUUUGAAUCACUAUACUAGCACUUUGCAUUUCAUUUGCUGAGUCAUUUGCUGUUUCACAAAGAAAUAGCUGUCAGUAGGAUAUAUGUAUGCAAAGAAAAGAGCUCCACCAAAAAAAACAAAUCUGUGAAAGGCUAUAUUUUAACAUGGCAAAAAAGCUGUCAUUUCUGUAAUAGCUCAUCAAUGAGGAUCACCAAGUUAAUUUUAUAGACCUAAAAAAUAUAACAUAAAGUUAAAUGGAUAGGAAAGGAAAAUCUUUGGUUCCAUUAAAUGGCAAUAUUUCAAAAAAUUGAAUAAAAAAUAAUGAAUAAGGAGAGGAAAAAUGGUUCAUAGGAACCUUGAGAAAAACUUUCAUCCCAACAAGAUCAUGUGUGUAAAAUUCACCCUCUUCUAACUCUGGUCUUUCAUCCUCGGUGACAAGCAAGGUAGAGCCAGUAAGCAUCUUAGCCUGCAUGAUACGAGUAAAUGAAUGUGUUUGGAUUAGCAACAGAAAAUAGAUUAUUUCAGUGAUAGAUUGUUAUCAUGAUCUAUUGUAAAAGAAU
rnacentral:lncRNA from 1 species